AGAGUUUGAUCCUAGCUCAGGGUGAACGCUGGCGGCGUGGAUGAGGCAUGCAAGUCGAAUGGGUUUAGACCCAUGGCAGACGAGGUAGGAACACGUAGGUACAUACCCCAAAGUCAGGGAUAAUCUGGAGAAAUCCAGGAUAAUACUUGAUAGUCUCUUCGGAGUAAAAAUUUAUUGCUUUGGGAAUGGCCUGCGUUCUAUCAGCUUGAUGGUAAGGUAACGGCUUACCAUGGCUAUGACGGAUAGGGGAGGUGAGAGCCUGACCCCCACCGAUGGAACUGCGACACGGUCCAUACUCCUACGGGAGGCCGCAGUCGAGAAUCUUCCGCAAUGGACGAAAGUCUGACGGAGCGACGCCGCGUGGUGGAUGAAGCCCUUAGGGGCGUAAACACCUUUUAUGGAGGAGGAAUUUUAUUGACGUUACUCCAUGAAUAAGGGGCUCCCAAUUCUGUGCCAGCAGGAGCGGUAAUACAGAAGCCUCAAGCGUUACCCGGAUUCACUGGGCGUAAAGGGUUCGUAGGCGGUUAUAUUAGUCGGACGUUAAAUCCUGAGGCUCAACCUCAGGCUCGCGUUGGAAACGGUAUAACUAGAAGAAGUGAGAGGUGAACAGAACUCAUGGUGUAGGGGUGAAAUCCGUUGAUAUCAUGGGGAAUACCAAAUGCGAAGGCAGUUCACUGGCACUUUCUUGACGCUGAGGAACGAAAGCGUGGGUAGCGAACGGGAUUAGAUACCCCGGUAGUCCACGCCCUAAACGCUGUCCGCUGGUUUUUGGAGGAAUCGACCCUUUCAGAGACGAAGCUAACGCAUUAAGCGGACCGCCUGGGUAGUACGAGCGCAAGCUUAAAACUCAAAGGAAUAGACGGGGGCUCGCACAAGCGGUGGAGCGCGUGGCUUAAUUCGUCGCUAAGCGAGGAACCUUACCGAGAUUAGAUAUCAUACUGCACGCCUACCGAAAGGUAGGAAGCCUUAGAGGGUGUAUGACAGGUGAUGCAUGGCCGUCGUCAGUUCGUGGCUUGAGCUGUUCCCUUAAGUGGGGAAACGAACGCAACCCUCGUUGCCUGUUACAAGUGUCAGGCGAGACUGCUCCCUCACGGGAGAGGAAGGUGAGGAUGACGCCAGGUCAGCAUGUCCCUAGAUAUCUCGGGCUGCACACACGCUACAAUGGUAAGCACAACGGGACGCAAUACAGCAAUGUGGAGCAAAUCCUUAUAAAACUUGCCCCAGUUCGGAUUGUGGGCUGCAACUCGCCCACAUGAAGUCGGAAUCGCUAGUAAUCGCGGAUCAGCACGCCGCGGUGAAUACGUUCCCGAGCCUUGUACUCACAAAUAACUGUGCCCGGCAGCUCUACGUAUGCCAGAUUGUUAAAAUCAAUCCCUCUGUAUAUAGCAACCGUUAUAUAAAGAGCGUAGUGAAAAGACAGGACAC
rnacentral:rRNA from 1 species